UGUAAGCGUAUACCAAAGUUGUUGCAGUUAAAACGCUCGUGGUCGGGAUUUGGCAGUUCCGGAUGUGUGCACGUCGUGUGCGCACUUCGCGGGGAUUGCUUUUGUGGUCUUGCGUAGGAUGAGGCACUUUUAUUAGUGAACGUCCUCACGCAACCACUUUUUACUGUGAGAAAAUCAGAGUGCUCAAAGCAGGCAUUUGCCGUGAAUGUAUUAGCAUGGAAUAAUAGAAUAGGACUUGGUUCUAUUUUGUUGGUUUGUUGGGACUGAGUAAUGAUUAAGAGGGACAGUUGGGGGCAUUUGUAUUUCGGUGCUAGAGGUGAAAUUCUUAGAUUACCGAAAGACAAACUGCUGCGAAAGCGUCUGCCAAGGAUGUUUUCAUUGA
rnacentral:rRNA from 1 species